UCGUGGCGAACCGGAUAUCUGGAUCCAGCACAAGUUCAAGGUUGCAUGCUCGAAACACGGCUCAUGCUCGAUCCAUGGCGGCUCCGAUAUGGUGGGACGGAUCGGAGAAACGCCGCCGGGAUCACCGCGCCCGCUGAUGCACGGCGUUCUCCGGCCGGUCAUCGGUUCACGCGUCUUCUUCGAUUGUCCCCUCUGGCUUCCUCCGCUACGACUCUACGAGGUUUCUUGUUCAGACACGGCCACUGCAACCCCACC
rnacentral:lncRNA from 1 species